AUUGAACGCUGGCGGCAGGCCUAACACAUGCAAGUCGAGCGGAUGAAGGGAGCUUGCUCCUGGAUUCAGCGGCGGACGGGUGAGUAAUGCCUAGGAAUCUGCCUGGUAGUGGGGGAUAACGUCCGGAAACGGGCGCUAAUACCGCAUACGUCCUGAGGGAGAAAGUGGGGGAUCUUCGGACCUCACGCUAUCAGAUGAGCCUAGGUCGGAUUAGCUAGUUGGUGGGGUAAAGGCCUACCAAGGCGACGAUCCGUAACUGGUCUGAGAGGAUGAUCAGUCACACUGGAACUGAGACACGGUUCAGACUCCUACGGGAGGCAGCAGUGGGGAAUAUUGGACAAUGGGCGAAAGCCUGAUGCAGCCAUGCCGCGUGUGUGAAGAAGGUCUUCGGAUUGUAAAGCACUUUAAGUUGGGAGGAAGGGCAGUAAGUUAAUACCUUGCUGUUUUGACGUUACCUACAGAGUAAGCACCGGCUAACUUCGUG
rnacentral:rRNA from 1 species